AUUGAACGCUGGCGGCAUGCUUUACACAUGCAAGUCGAACGGCAGCGCGGGCUUCGGCCUGGCGGCGAGUGGCGAACGGGUGAGUAAUGCAUCGGAACGUGCCCAGUAGUGGGGGAUAGCCCGGCGAAAGCCGGAUUAAUACCGCAUACGACCUGAGGGUGAAAGCGGGGGACCGAAAGGCCUCGCGCUAUUGGAGCGGCCGAUGUCGGAUUAGCUAGUUGGUGGGGUAAAGGCUUACCAAGGCGACGAUCCGUAGCUGGUCUGAGAGGGCGACCAGCCACACUGGGACUGAGCCACGGACCAGACUCCUACGGGAGGCAGCAGUGGGGAAUUUUGGACAAUGGGGGCAACCCUGAUCCAGCCAUGCCGCGUGCGGGAAGAAGGCCUUCGGGUUGUAAACCGCUUUUGUUCGGGAAGAAAUCCUCUGGGCUAAUACCCCGGGGGGAUGACGGUACCGGAAGAAUAAGCACCGGCUAACUACGUG
rnacentral:rRNA from 1 species